rnacentral:rRNA from 1 species
CGCGGCCUAUCAGCUUGUUGGUGGGGUAACGGCCUACCAAGGCAUCGACGGGUAGCUGGUCUGAGAGGACGAUCAGCCACACUGGGACUGAGACACGGCCCAGACUCCUACGGGAGGCAGCAGUGGGGAAUAUUGCGCAAUGGGCGAAAGCCUGACGCAGCAACGCCGCGUGGGGGAUGAAGGCUUUCGGGUUGUAAACCCCUUUCAGUGAUGACGAAAAUGACGGUAAUCACAGAAGAAGCCCCGGCCAACUACGUGCCAGCAGCCGCGGUAACACGUAGGGGGCAAGCGUUGUCCGGAUUUAUUGGGCGUAAAGAGCUCGUAGGCGGUUGCGUAAGUCGGACGUGAAAACUCAGGGCUCAACCCUGAGAUGCCGUUCGAUACUGCGCUGACUAGAGUCCGGUAGGGGAGCAUGGAAUUCCUGGUGUAGCGGUGAAAUGCGCAGAUAUCAGGAGGAACGCCAGUGGCGAAGGCGGUGCUCUGGGCCGGAACUGACGCUGAGGAGCGAAAGCAUGGGUAGCAAACAGGAUUAGAUACCCUGGUAGUCCAUGCCGUAAACGUUGGGCACUAGGUGUGGGGUCUACUUAACGGAUUCCGUGCCGUAGCUAACGCAUUAAGUGCCCCGCCUGGGGAGUACGG